rnacentral:misc_RNA from 1 species
GAUGAAGAACGUAGCGAAAUGCGAUAAGUAAUGUGAAUUGCAGAAUUCAGUGAAUCAUCGAAUCUUUGAACGCACAUUGCGCCCCCUGGUAUUCCGGGGGGCAUGCCUGUCCGAGCGUCAUUACAACCCUCAAGCUUAGCUUGGUAUUGGGCCCCGCCGACCCGGCGGGCCCUAAAGUCAGUGGCGGUGCCGUCCGGCUCCGAGCGUAGUAAUUCUUCUCGCUCUGGAGGUCCGGUCGUGUGCUCGCCAGCAACCCCCAAUUUUUUUCAGGUUGACCUCGGAUCAGGUAGGGAUACCCGCUGAACUUAAGCAUAUCAAUAAGCGGAGGA